rnacentral:rRNA from 1 species
AGCAGCCGCGGUAAUUCCAGCUCCAAUAGCGUAUAUUAAAGUUGCCGCAGUUAAAAAGCUCGUAGUUGAAUUUCGGGAUUGACACAUCGGUCGUGCCUUAAGGGGUAUGAACUGGUGUAGUCAAUUUCUCACCUUCUGGAGAACCGCGAUGCCCUUAAUUGGGUGUCGCGGGGAACCAGGACCUUUACUUUGAAAAAAUUAGAGUGUUUAAAGCAGGCAUUUUGCUUGAAUACAUUAGCAUGGAAUAAUAAAAUAGGACGGCAUGAUUCUAUUUUGUUGGUUUCUAGGAUCACCGUAAUGAUUAAUAGGGAUAGUUGGGGGCAUUAGUAUUCAAUUGUCAGAGGUGAAAUUCUUGGAUUUAUUGAAGACUAACUACUGCGAAAGCAUUUGCCAAGGAUGUUUUCAUUAAUCAAGAACGAAAGUUAGGGGAUCGA